GGGGUAGUUACGGUUUCGAUUGCCCGCGGAUGGUCUUGUAAGCAUACCGAAGUCCCUGCUUCGUUAAAAAGGGAAACUAAAUUUAAAUGCAGAUAAUAGUAAUUUUGCAUUCGCCGCUUAAUUUUUAGCGGCUGCUUCGCCGGGCUGCCCGCCGGUCCGGCCGGAGUAUCAUUUUCAGGCGGGGAACGUUCGUUUUCGCUCUGACCGCGGCGUAGCGAUCGUAUUUUGCGGUCCACGGCGGCGCGGGUUUGUUCUUCGAAACGCGCGGCAAGGGUUCAAAGAAGAAAUAAGUAUGUAGAAAGCAGACUUGAAACGGGUAAGACGGCGGUUCGACUCCGCCCUACUCCACCA
rnacentral:tmRNA from 1 species